UCUGGACCAAUCAGCAAUGAGCAUUCCAGACCGCAGUUGUUUAAAACCGGGAGACUGGUAGUCGACGCGUUGCGGCGACUUCAAAAGCCAUGGAAAAUGCUUUUAAGGAAUAACCGACAUAGUGCGUCGUUUUGUUAGUUUGAAUCAGUGACUUCAGGCUGGAUGAAACUACCUGUCGAUCUGUCAGAAGUGUGCGCGUAAGGAUCUGAAGUGGAAGGAUGGUUUCUCAAGGACCUCCAACCCUCUAGCAGGACUCAACUCAAUGUACAGCUCCUUCAUUCCCCAAGAUGGGAUGUUCAAGCCAUUGUGAACAUGACAACUUGAAUAUAUCCAUCCAGGAAGCCUUUUCUCUUCAUGCUGGAUGGAGAAAUUCCAGUCUGAGAUUUGGUGAGGACCAACUUCAAUCAACUUUUGUUUUUACAGAAAACAAAUCUCUUUCCCUUCCCAUUUUGUCCAAUAAAGUCAUAGCUCAAUUCUUGAAA